rnacentral:rRNA from 1 species
GAUGAGCGCUGGCGGCGUGCCUAAUACAUGCAAGUCGAGCGAACAGACGAGGAGCUUGCUCCUCUGACGUUAGCGGCGGACGGGUAAGUAACACGUGGAUAACCUACCUAUAAGACUGGGAUAACUUCGGGAAACCGGAGCUAAUACCGGAUAAUAUAUUGAACCGCAUGGUUCAAUAGUGAAAGACGGUUUUGCUGUCACUUAUAGAUGGAUCCGCGCCGCAUUAGCUAGUUGGUAAGGUAACGGCUUACCAAGGCAACGAUGCGUAGCCGACCUGAGAGGGUGAUCGGCCACACUGGAACUGAGACACGGUCCAGACUCCUACGGGAGGCAGCAGUAGGGAAUCUUCCGCAAUGGGCGAAAGCCUGACGGAGCAACGCCGCGUGAGUGAUGAAGGUCUUCGGAUCGUAAAACUCUGUUAUUAGGGAAGAACAAAUGUGUAAGUAACUAUGCACGUCUUGACGGUACCUAAUCAGAAAGCCACGGCUAACUACGUG